rnacentral:rRNA from 1 species
GAAACCGUGUGCUUACAAGUAGUCAGAGCCCGUUAAUGGGUGAUGGCGUGCCUUUUGUAGAAUGAACCGGCGAGUUACGAUUUGAUGCAAGGUUAAGCAGUAAAUGUGGAGCCGUAGCGAAAGCGAGUCUGAAUAGGGCGUUUAGUAUUUGGUCGUAGACCCGAAACCAGGUGAUCUACCCUUGGUCAGGUUGAAGUUCAGGUAACACUGAAUGGAGGACCGAA